GACGAACGCUGGCGGCGUGCUUAACACAUGCAAGUCGAACGAGAUCCAUUCAGUAGCAAUACUGAUGAAGAUCUAGUGGCGAACGGGUGCGUAACACGUGAGGAACUUGUCCCGGUCUCUGGGAUAACAGUUGGAAACGACUGCUAAUACCGGAUGACGUCGGAACUUCGCAUGGAGUACUGACGAAAGGGUUACUGGAUCGGGAGAGCCUCGCGGCCUAUCAGCUUGUUGGUGGGGUAACGGCCUACCAAGGCAUCGACGGGUAGCUGGUCUGAGAGGAUGAUCAGCCACACUGGGACUGAGACACGGCCCAGACUCCUACGGGAGGCAGCAGUGGGGAAUCUUGCACAAUGGGCGAAAGCCUGAUGCAGCAACGCCGCGUGCGGGAAGAAGGCCCUCGGGUUGUAAACCGCUUUCAGAAGGAACGAAACUGACGGUACUUUCAGAAGAAGGUGCGGCCAACUACGUGC
rnacentral:rRNA from 1 species